CGAGGUGCUGCAUGGUUGUCGUCAGCUCGUGCCGUGAGGUGUCGGGUUAAGUCCCAUAACGAGCGCAACCCCUACCUGCUAGUUGCCAGCGGGUCGAUGCCGGGGACGUCUAGCGGAACUGCCAGCGUAAGCUGCGAGGAAGGUGGGGAGUGACGUCAAAUCAGCACGGCCCUUACGUCCAGGGCUACACACGUGUUACAAUGGCCGGUACAGAGGGCAGCCACCCCGCCGAGGGGGCGGCGAAUCCCGAAAGACCGGUCCCAGUUCGGAUCGGAGUCUGCAACCCGACUCCGUGAAGCUGGAUUCGCUAGUAAUCGCGCAUCAGCCACGGCGCGGUGAAUACGUUCCCGGGCCUU
rnacentral:rRNA from 1 species